UAACAUCUUAUGUAGCUAUUCAAUACUGAAGCCAGGACAUUGACAUUGAUACAAUGCACAUGUUGAAUUCUAUGUCAUUUUAUCAUGUGUGUAGAUGCAGGCCUGCUGCAGAUCCAAGUCCUGUGACCGGGGUCCUGCCCAAGGGUCCUGCUUCCCUAGGCAUCCCAGAAGUUCAGCCUGCAUCUCGACCAGAGCCUGAGAGUAGACACCUGCCGGUUUAUCUGUCCCUUCAUGUAGCAGGUGACAGAGGUGCCAGGGGCAUGGCAGGGGUACUCUGACACAGCACUGCCCCACGGAGCCCAUGUCCCAGGGCAGAAGACCCACGAUGCACAGCCAGCCAGGUGAGAGAAGAAAUGUCAGAUACAGAACACAAUGAAGAAGAAAGCCAGCUAUGAAGGUGGCCCCGUCGCAGGCUAGGGUUGGGAAGAGACCCUGAGUUGGAGGUGGCCUCAUCCGAUCAGUCAAAGGCCUCAAUAGAACCAAGACUGACCUCUGCCAAAGAGAGAAUUCUUUCAGCAGACGGCCUUCGGACUUGAGCUAUGACGGCAACUCUUCCCCGGGCCCACCUGACGGACUGGGUUUCUCAGCCUCCACAGUCGUGUGAGCCAAUUCCGUAAGAUAAAUCUCUCUCUCUUCUCUCUCAAUCUCUCUCUCAAUCUCUCUCUCUCUCCAGGAAAGAACUCCAGGGUAGCUGGGAGCUUGGUAUGUUCCAGGACAGCAGGGAGGCCAGAGCCGCUGUCAGUGUGAGAGGGUCGGAGUACAGU
rnacentral:lncRNA from 10 species